CCUACGGGAGGCAGCAGUGGGGAAUAUUGGACAAUGGGCGCAAGCCUGAUCCAGCAAUGCCGCGUGUGUGAAGAAGGCCUUCGGGUUGUAAAGCACUUUUAUCAGGAAAGAAAUCCUCUGGACUAAUACUUGGGGGGGAUGACGGUACCUGAGGAAUAAGCACCGGCUAACUUCGUGCCAGCAGCCGCGGUAAUA
rnacentral:rRNA from 1 species